rnacentral:rRNA from 2 species
UUAAGCGACUAAGCGUACACGGUGGAUGCCCUGGCAGUCAGAGGCGAUGAAGGACGUGCUAAUCUGCGAAAAGCGUCGGUAAGGUGAUAUGAACCGUUAUAGCCGGCGAUGUCCGAAUGGGGAAACCCAGUGCAAUUCGUUGCACUAUCGUUAACUGAAUACAUAGGUUAACGAGGCGAACCGGGGGAACUGAAACAUCUAAGUACCCCGAGGAAAAGAAAUCAACCGAGAUUCCCCCAGUAGCGGCGAGCGAACGGGGAGCAGCCCAGAGUCUGAAUCAGCUUGUGUGUUAGUGGAACGGUCUGGAAAGUCCGACGGUACAGGGUGAUAGUCCCGUACACCAAAAUGCACAGGUUGUGAACUCGAAGAGUAGGGCGGGACACGUGGUAUCCUGUCUGAAUAUGGGGGGACCAUCCUCCAAGGCUAAAUACUCCUGACUGACCGAUAGUGAACCAGUACCGUGAGGGAAAGGCGAAAAGAACCCCGGCGAGGGGAGUGAAAAAGAACCUGAAACCGUGUACGUACAAGCAGUGGGAGCACCUUCGGGUGUGACUGCGUACCUUUUGUAUAAUGGGUCAGCGACUUAUAUUCUGUAGCAAGGUUAACCGUAUAGGGGAGCCGCAGGGAAACCGAGUCUUAACUGGGCGUUAAGUUGCAGGGUAUAGACCCGAAACCCGGUGAUCUAGCCAUGGGCAGGUUGAAGGUUGGGUAACACUAACUGGAGGACCGAACCGACUAAUGUUGAAAAAUUAGCGGAUGACUUGUGGCUGGGGGUGAAAGGCCAAUCAAACCGGGAGAUAGCUGGUUCUCCCCGAAAGCUAUUUAGGUAGCGCCUCGUGAACUCAUCUUCGGGGGUAGAGCACUGUUUCGGCUAGGGGGUCAUCCCGACUUACCAACCCGAUGCAAACUACGAAUACCGAAGAAUGUUAUCACGGGAGACACACGGCGGGUGCUAACGUCCGUCGUGAAGAGGGAAACAACCCAGACCGCCAGCUAAGGUCCCAAAGUCAUGGUUAAGUGGGAAACGAUGUGGGAAGGCACAGACAGCCAGGAUGUUGGCUUAGAAGCAGCCAUCAUUUAAAGAAAGCGUAAUAGCUCACUGGUCGAGUCGGCCUGCGCGGAAGAUGUAACGGGGCUAAACCAUGCACCGAAGCUGCGGCAGCGACACUAUGUGUUGUUGGGUAGGGGAGCGUUCUGUAAGCCUGCGAAGGUGUGCUGUGAGGCAUGCUGGAGGUAUCAGAAGUGCGAAUGCUGACAUAAGUAACGAUAAAGCGGGUGAAAAGCCCGCUCGCCGGAAGACCAAGGGUUCCUGUCCAACGUUAAUCGGGGCAGGGUGAGUCGACCCCUAAGGCGAGGCCGAAAGGCGUAGUCGAUGGGAAACAGGUUAAUAUUCCUGUACUUGGUGUUACUGCGAAGGGGGGACGGAGAAGGCUAUGUUAGCCGGGCGACGGUUGUCCCGGUUUAAGCAUGUAGGCUGGUUGUCCAGGCAAAUCCGGAUAAUCAAGGCUGAGGUGUGAUGACGAGGCACUACGGUGCUGAAGUAACAAAUGCCCUGCUUCCAGGAAAAGCCUCUAAGCAUCAGGUAACAUUAAAUCGUACCCCAAACCGACACAGGUGGUCAGGUAGAGAAUACCAAGGCGCUUGAGAGAACUCGGGUGAAGGAACUAGGCAAAAUGGUGCCGUAACUUCGGGAGAAGGCACGCUGGUGUGUAGGUGAAGUCCCUGCGGAUGGAGCUGAGACCAGUCGAAGAUACCAGCUGGCUGCAACUGUUUAUUAAAAACACAGCACUGUGCAAACACGAAAGUGGACGUAUACGGUGUGACGCCUGCCCGGUGCCGGAAGGUUAAUUGAUGGGGUUAUCCGUAAGGAGAAGCUCUUGAUCGAAGCCCCGGUAAACGGCGGCCGUAACUAUAACGGUCCUAAGGUAGCGAAAUUCCUUGUCGGGUAAGUUCCGACCUGCACGAAUGGCGUAAUGAUGGCCAGGCUGUCUCCACCCGAGACUCAGUGAAAUUGAACUCGCUGUGAAGAUGCAGUGUACCCGCGGCAAGACGGAAAGACCCCGUGAACCUUUACUAUAGCUUGACACUGAACAUUGAGCCUUGAUGUGUAGGAUAGGUGGGAGGCUUUGAAGCGUGGACGCCAGUCUGCGUGGAGCCAACCUUGAAAUACCACCCUUUAAUGUUUGAUGUUCUAACGUUGGCCCCUGACCGGGGUUGCGGACAGUGUCUGGUGGGUAGUUUGACUGGGGCGGUCUCCUCCCAAAGCGUAACGGAGGAGCACGAAGGUUAGCUAAUCCUGGUCGGACAUCAGGAGGUUAGUGCAAUGGCAUAAGCUAGCUUGACUGCGAGCGUGACGGCGCGAGCAGGUGCGAAAGCAGGUCAUAGUGAUCCGGUGGUUCUGAAUGGAAGGGCCAUCGCUCAACGGAUAAAAGGUACUCCGGGGAUAACAGGCUGAUACCGCCCAAGAGUUCAUAUCGACGGCGGUGUUUGGCACCUCGAUGUCGGCUCAUCACAUCCUGGGGCUGAAGUAGGUCCCAAGGGUAUGGCUGUUCGCCAUUUAAAGUGGUACGCGAGCUGGGUUUAGAACGUCGUGAGACAGUUCGGUCCCUAUCUGCCGUGGGCGCUGGAGAAUUGAGGGGGGCUGCUCCUAGUACGAGAGGACCGGAGUGGACGCAUCACUGGUGUUCGGGUUGUCAUGCCAAUGGCACUGCCCGGUAGCUAAAUGCGGAAGAGAUAAGUGCUGAAAGCAUCUAAGCACGAAACUUGCCCCGAGAUGAGUUCUCCCUGAGACUUUAAGUCUCCUGAAGGAACGUUGAAGACGACGACGUUGAUAGGCCGGGUGUGUAAGCGCAGCGAUGCGUUGAGCUAACCGGUACUAAUGAACCGUGAGGCUUAACCUU